AGCGAGCACCCGCGGCUGCCAAAGGUUCUCUCCUAGGUAUUUGAUAAUCAGAUAAAAAUAUAAGGACAGGUGUCCGGGAAGGCAGCAGGGAAAGUAGAGUAAACGGCACAGAAAAGGAACUGAAAUUGACCUUGAUUGCCUCCAUCUCGGGCCUGGAGCGGGCCUUUCCUGCUUAUCUGGCUGAAAUGCUGAAAGAAAAAUCUCAGUUUACACAGAACCAAAUCACCAAAGAGAAUUGGAAACCCUCAUCUGUGGCGCUGCCCGCAGGGCUGCCAGGAAUAGUGCUUACCCCAGUGGCCUGAAAUAAUUCCGCAUCUUGCUCAGCAUCUCGCCCUGGGCUGGGGAUUGAUUUAGGCCACUGGGAAAACGAGGGCCCGGACUUUGCCGCUGAGCCAUAGCUGCAUUUCUCCGUUAUGGGAGCCACUGGGAUCAGCAGCUAGCAGAGAGAGACACAUUUCCAUUUAGGUGGGGGUUCUGUUUCAUAGGAGAAACAGUGUGGUUGCUAAGACAGCAUUUUAUUUUUUCUCUUAAAACUUUCUUUUUUUCUUUCCACAGAGUAUCCUUGUUCCCCGAUCAUAUUUUUUGGAACUAGCCGUAUGUGUUCCAUCCACAUAGGACCCUUUAAGGACUACGUUUUUGUUUGCAAGCAUGGGGGAAACAGUGAAUGAUUUGUACUUUUCCUACUUUGCUCUCACACAAAUGAUGAAUUUUCUGGAAUAUACGGCACAGAGAAAGUUUCUGGCGUCUGUGAAAAAAAAAAAAAUGUCUGGUCCAUCUAUGGUGGGAGGACACAGGAUCGUGGUACAUACACACCUGGGUAGAAUAUGGAAAUUUGAGGAGGAUAAAAGACAUGGCUAUUUAUCGCUUAAUCUUUUCCUCUUCCUCUCCCUAAUAAUGUCUUCCUUGGAAGGAACCUUCAUUAAAAGAGAGAAUCCACCACCAGCUAUCUGCUAUUAAGUUUCAAAUAAUCUUAACUGUAACCUGACUCUGCCAUUGACUCUCUUUAUGGAAGAAAUUUAUUUAUUGAAUGCUUGGUACCUCACCGAACAAUAUUUGGCAAAGUAACAACACAAGCCAUGCUCCCGUGUACCUGCUGCCACCACGAUGGAAUGUUUCCCCCAGUGCACUGAUGUGUUUACUGAUGCCAGGGUUCAGGUUCAAUGGUAACAGUUGGAGAAGAUGGGAAGGUGAACUAGGAAGAGGUGCCAAGAAUGAUGGAUGGCAGAGCGUAGUCAGGGUUAGUAAUGUCCUUAUUUUCCCUCUCACUCUGAACCUUUGCCCUGGAUAAGGGGGAGUUGAAUUUAGCUUUAAGAAGGGAUUAGUAAGAAGAGAAUGUGAAUGUUGGUUUGACAGGUGGGGUGGGGGAGGCCAUUAUAGCCCAGGGGCCAACAACCGCCCUGGCAGUUUCUUUUCCUCCCUUCAAGCCCAGCUAGUAGAGACUGCCCUUCCAGAAAAUCCUGUAACCAAAGCUCUGCACUCUGCAGGGUUCCCAGUGGACCUCACUCUUGCAAGAGGACAGUGAGAGUCCCGUUGAACUGCAGAUUCUGGCUGCUGCCUGGCAGUUCCGUUGACUCCUUGAGCCCCGGGAUCAGCAGAUGAGAAGAGGAAUCACCAUCCUGGCAGGAAGAGUUGACCCUGUCAAGAAAAAUAUAUUUUAAAAAAUAAGAAAGAGGAGAGGUCGAUGGGAACUGCUCCCCAACGUGUGGACAAGGCAAUGCCUGCAGUGGAAGGGGAGGCUGUGUCGGCCAUGGCUGCACCCUGCUCAGAGCUUCCGUCAAGAGAACCCGCUGAGAGGAGGGCGAGAGAUGAACAGGCUCCAGCCGCUGCACCUCUGGUCCUGGCAGGGCUUGUGCUGAGGCCACGGUCUUCCUAGACCACCUCCGGCCAGCUGCUGGGCACAGUGGGCUGAGGGAGCCGGGCCAUGCCUCCUCCGCCAGGCUGCUGUGUUCUGCGCUCCCCAUCGACUUGUCUGAAGCGUCUUCAGGGUGCACUGCGGUCUGAGGUUCCUCCACUCUCCCACCCCACCCCACCCCACCCGCUUCCUUCCUGCUUCCUUUCGCAGGUUUCAGACCUGCCUCCUGAACAAGAGGCUCACUCUCCCCACCA